AGUGAAUGCUGGCGGUAGGCCUAACACAUGCAAGUCGAACGGCAGCACAGGAGAGCUUGCUCUCUGGGUGGCGAGUGGCGGACGGGUGAGGAAUACAUCGGAAUCUACUCUGUCGUGGGGGAUAACGUAGGGAAACUUACGCUAAUACCGCAUACGACCUACGGGUGAAAGCAGGGGAUCUUCGGACCUUGCGCGAUUGACUGAGCCGAUGUCGGAUUAGCUAGUUGGCGGGGUAAAGGCCCACCAAGGCGACGAUCCGUAGCUGGUCUGAGAGGAUGAUCAGCCACACUGGAACUGAGACACGGUCCAGACUCCUACGGGAGGCAGCAGUGGGGAAUAUUGGACAAUGGGCGCAAGCCUGAUCCAGCCAUACCGCGUGGGUGAAGAAGGCCUUCGGGAUGUAAAGCCCUUUUGUUGGGAAAGAAAUCCAGCUGGCUAAUACCCGGUUGGGAUGACGGUACCCAAAGAAUAAGCACCGGCUAACUUCGUGCCAGCCGCCGCCUAA
rnacentral:rRNA from 1 species